rfam:Clostridium lentocellum DSM 5427, complete genome.
UUCUUAUCGAGAGAGGCUGAGGGAUAGGCCCUAUGAUGCCCAGCAACCGGACAUUCCAUAAGUGUACACGGUGCUAAUUCCUACAAACGUAGAGUAAUUAAAACUUUGAGUUUGAGAAGAUAAGAA